GAUGAAGAACGCAGUGAAAUGCGAUACGUAAUGUGAAUUGCAGAAUUCAGUGAAUCAUCGAAUCUUUGAACGCAUAUUGCGCUCUCUGGUAUUCCGGAGAGCAUGCUUGUUUGAGUAUCAGUAAACACCUCAACUUCCAUAUCUUUUUUGAAAUGGGAGUUGGACUUGAGUGAUCCCAACGCUUUUCCUCACCGAAAAGUGGCGGGUUACUUGAAAUGCAGGUGCAGCUGGACUUUUCUCUGAGCUAUAAGCAUAUCUAUUUAGUCUGCCGAAAAAACAGAUUAUUACCUUUGCUGCAGCUAACAUAAAGGAGAUUAGUUCUUGUGCUGACUGAUGCAGGAUUCACAAAGACGGCUUCGGCCGACUUUGUAAACUCGAUCUCAAAUCAAGUAAGACUACCCGCUGAACUUAAGCAUAUCAAUAAGCGGAGGA
rnacentral:misc_RNA from 1 species